UACGUAGGGUGCAAGCGUUGUCCGGAAUUAUUGGGCGUAAAGAGCUCGUAGGCGGUCUGUCACGUCGGCUGUGAAAUCCCGAGGCUCAACCUCGGGUCUGCAGUCGAUACGGGCAAACUAGAGUAUUGCAGGGGAGACUGGAAUUCCUGGUGUAGCGGUGAAAUGCGCAGAUAUCAGGAGGAACACCAGUGGCGAAGGCGCCGCUCUGGGCCGAGACUGACGCUGAGGAGCGAAAGCGUGGGUAGCAAACAGG
rnacentral:rRNA from 1 species